GGGACUGAGAUACGGCCCAGACUCCUACGGGAGGCAGCAGUGGGGAAUAUUGCGCAAUGGGGGGAACCCUGACGCAGCGACGCCGCGUGCGGGAUGAAGGCCUUCGGGUUGUAAACCGCUUUUGAUUGGGAGCAAGCUUUCGGGUGAGUGUACCUUUCGAAUAAGCGCCGGCUAACUACGUGCCAGCAGCCGCGGUAAUACGUAGGGCGCAAGCGUUAUCCGGAAUUAUUGGGCGUAAAGAGCUUGUAGGCGGUUCGUCGCGUCUGGUGUGAAAGCCCAUCGCUUAACGGUGGGUCUGCGCCGGGUACGGGCGGGCUAGAGUGCAGUAGGGGAGACUGGAAUUCCCGGUGUAACGGUGGAAUGUGUAGAUAUCGGGAAGAACACCAAUGGCGAAGGCAGGUCUCUGGGCUGUUACUGACGCUGAGAAGCGAAAGCGUGGGGAGCGAACAGGAUUAGAUACCCUGGUAGUCCACGCCGUAAACGGUGGACGCUGGAUGUGGGGCCCAUUCCACGGGUUCUGUGUCGGAGCUAACGCGUUAAGCGUCCCGCCUGGGGAGUACGGCCGCAAGGCUAAAACUCAAAGAAAUUGACGGGGGCCCGCACAAGCGGCGGAGCAUGCGGAUUAAUUCGAUGCAACGCGAAGAACCUUACCUGGGCUUGACAUGUGCCUGACGACUGCAGAGAUGUGGUUUCCUUUCGGGGCAGGUUCACAGGUGGUGCAUGGUCGUCGUCAGCUCGUGUCGUGAGAUGUUGGGUUAAGUCCCGCAACGAGCGCAACCCUCGCCCUGUGUUGCCAGCGGGUUAUGCCGGGAACUCACGGGGGACCGCCGGGGUUAACUCGGAGGAAGGUGGGGAUGACGUCAGAUCAUCAUGCCCCUUACGUCCAGGGCUUCACGCAUGCUACAAUGGCCGGUACAACGGGGUGCGACAUGGUGACAUGGAGCUAAUCCCUUAAAACCGGUCUCAGUUCGGAUCGUAGUCUGCAACUCGACUACGUGAAGGCGGAGUCGCUAGUAAUCGCGAAUCAGCAACGUCGCGGUGAAUGCGUUCCCGGGCCUUGUACACACCGCCCGUCAAGUCAUGAAAGUGGGCAGCACCCGAAGCCGGUGGCCUAACCCUUUUGGGAUGGAGCCGUCUAAGGUGAGGCUCGUGAUUGGGACUAAGUCGUAACAAGGUAGCCGUACCGGAAGGUGCGGCUGGAUCACCUCCUUUCUACGGAG
rnacentral:rRNA from 1 species